GCGCCCGUAGCUCAGCUGGAUAGAGCGACGGCCUCCGGAGCCGUAGGUCGCAGGUUCGACUCCUGCCGGGCGCACCA
rnacentral:tRNA from 1 species